rnacentral:rRNA from 1 species
GCAGUCGAACGGCAGCACGGGUGCUUGCACCUGGUGGCGAGUGGCGAACGGGUGAGUAAUACAUCGGAACGUACCUUAUCGUGGGGGAUAACGCAGCGAAAGCUGUGCUAAUACCGCAUACGCCCUGAGGGGGAAAGCGGGGGAUCGAAAGACCUCGCGCGAUUAGAGCGGCCGAUGCCUGAUUAGCUUGUUGGUGGGGUAAAAGCCCACCAAGGCGACGAUCAGUAGCUGGUCUGAGAGGACGAUCAGCCACACUGGGACUGAGACACGGCCCAGACUCCUACGGGAGGCAGCAGUGGGGAAUUUUGGACAAUGGGGGAAACCCUGAUCCAGCAAUGCCGCGUGAGUGAAGAAGGCCUUCGGGUUGUAAAGCUCUUUUGUCAGGGAAGAAACACCGGCUCUAACACAGUCCGGGAAUGACGGUACCUGAAGAAUAAGCACCGGCUAACUACGUGCCAGCAGCCGCGGUAAUACGUAGGGUGCAAGCGUUAAUCGGAAUUACUGGGCGUAAAGCGUGCGCAGGCGGUUAUACAAGACAGGCGUGAAAUCCCCGGGCUUAACCUGAGAAUGGCGCCUGUGACUGUAUAGCUAGAGUGUGUCAGAGGGGGGUAGAAUUCCACGUGUAGCAGUGAAAUGCGUAG